rnacentral:rRNA from 1 species
UUGAACGCUGGCGGCAGGCCUAACACAUGCAAGUCGAACGGUAACAGGAAGCAGCUUGCUGCUUCGCUGACGAGUGGCGGACGGGUGAGUAAUGUCUGGGAAACUGCCUGAUGGAGGGGGAUAACUACUGGAAACGGUGGCUAAUACCGCAUAACGUCGCAAGACCAAAGAGGGGGACCUUAGGGCCUCUUGCCAUCGGAUGUGCCCAGAUGGGAUUAGCUAGUAGGUGGGGUAACGGCUCACCUAGGCGACGAUCCCUAGCUGGUCUGAGAGGAUGACCAGCCACACUGGAACUGAGACACGGUCCAGACUCCUACGGGAGGCAGCAGUGGGGAAUAUUGCACAAUGGGCGCAAGCCUGAUGCAGCCAUGCCGCGUGUAUGAAGAAGGCCUUCGGGUUGUAAAGUACUUUCAGCGGGGAGGAAGGGAGUAAAGUUAAUACCUUUGCUCAUUGACGUUACCCGCAGAAGAAGCACCGGCUAACUCCGUG